rnacentral:rRNA from 1 species
GACGAACCACACAAACGUUAUUCGGAAUUACUGGGCUUAAAGGGUGCGUAGGCGGCGCUAAAAGUUGGGUGUGAAAUCCCUCGGCUUAACCGAGGAACUGCGCCCAAUACUGUAGUGCUUGAGGGAGAUAGAGGUGAGCGGAACUUAGGGUGGAGCGGUGAAAUGCGUUGAUAUCCUAAGGAACACCCGUGGCGAAAGCGGCUCACUGGAUCUUCUCUGACGCUGAGGCACGAAAGCUAGGGUAGCGAACGGG